UACGUAGGGUGCGAGCGUUGUCCGGAAUUAUUGGGCGUAAAGGGCUCGUAGGCGGUUUGUCGCGUCAGGAGUGAAAACUCGGGGCUUAACCCCGAGCCUGCUUCUGAUACGGGCAGACUAGAGGUAUGCAGGGGAGAACGGAAUUCCUGGUGUAGCGGUGAAAUGCGCAGAUAUCGGAAGGAACGCCGGUGGCGAAAGCGACACACUGGACCUCUUCUGACGCUGAGGCGCGAAAGCCAGGGGAGCAAACGGG
rnacentral:rRNA from 1 species